ACUGAAACACAUAGACAGUUGCUGGACACAGUUGGUGAACUCUGGAAAGAGGGGGAGUCUGCAGUUUUCCUCUAGCAGUCAGGAAAGCCUAGAGAGUUUCUGUUUUGUAUUUCUGGGGUAGAACUGGAGAGCCAGUGAUUCCCUCUUCUUUGGCUUUCUUGAUAUGCUGCCUGUCCUUGCUGCUGCUGCUGUUACAGAGAAGUGGAUUUCAAUAGUGCUGGUGACUUACUACUGGGAUUACUGCUUGAAUCAAAGAGGACUCCUGUGUUUUAAAUGACCUAGUAAAUGUAUCUGGAGUUGGGAAGACUAGUCUUAUAUUCAAAACCAGCCUCAGACCUACUAGCUAUAUGACCCUGGGCUGGGACACUUCUGACCUCCCACUGAAGGGUAAUAUGCCAUGUAAGUGUUUAAUAUUCUGCAAAGUGCUGAGUCAGAGAUGUGAUGAAACCAUCUCAAACCAUAAAGUUGAUCAUUAAAUUUUCAGUGUGAGUUUA
rnacentral:lncRNA from 1 species